CUCGUAGGCGGUUCGUCGCGUCCGGUGUGAAAGUCCAUCGCUUAACGGUGGAUCCGCGCCGGGUACGGGCGGGCUUGAGUGCGGUAGGGGAGACCGGAAUUCCCGGUGUAACGGUGGAAUGUGUAGAUAUCGGGAAGAACACCAAUGGCGAAGGCAGGUCUCUGGGCCGUCACUGACGCUGAGGAGCGAAAGCGUGGGGAGCGAACA
rnacentral:rRNA from 1 species